rnacentral:rRNA from 1 species
GACGAACGCUGGCGGCGUGCUUAACACAUGCAAGUCGAACGGAAAGGCCCUGCUUUUGUGGGGUGCUCGAAUGGCGAACGGGUGAGUAACACGUGAGUAACCUGCCCUUGACUUUGGGAUAACUUCAGGAAACUGGGGCUAAUACCGGAUAGGAGCUCCUGCUGCAUGGUGGGGGUUGGAAAGUUUCGGCGGUUGGGGAUGGACUCGCGGCUUAUCAGCUUGUUGGUGGGGUAGUGGCUUACCAAGGCUUUGACGGGUAGCCGGCCUGAGAGGGUGACCGGCGACAUUGGGACUGAGAUACGGCCCAGACUCCUAUGGGAGGCAGCAGUGGGGAAUAGUACACAAUGGGCGGAAGCCUGAUGCAGCGACGCCGCGUGCGGGAUGACGGCCUUCGGGUUGUAAACCGCUUUUGCUUGUGACGAAGCGUGAGUGACGGUAAUGGGUGAAGAAGCACCGGCUAACUACGUG